GUGUCAGCAGCCGCGGUAAUACGUAGGGGGCAAGCGUUGUCCGGAAUCAUUGGGCGUAAAGCGCGUGUAGGCGGCUCGGUAAGUCUGCUGUGAAAGUCCAGGGCUCAACCCUGGGAUGCCGGUGGAUACUGUCGAGCUCGAGUCCGGAAGAGGCGAGUGGAAUUCCUGGUGUAGCGGUGAAAUGCGCAGAUAUCAGGAGGAACACCAAUGGCGAAGGCAGCUCGCUGGGACGGUACUGACGCUGAGACGCGAAAGCGUGGGGAGCAAACAGGAUUAGAAACCCCUGUAGUCC
rnacentral:rRNA from 1 species